rnacentral:lncRNA from 12 species
GGGGGGGGGGGGGGGGGGGGGGGGGGGGGGGGGGGGGGGGGGGGGGGGGGGGGGGGGGGGGGGGGGGGGGGGGGGGGGGGGGGGGCCGCCGGCGGGGGCCGCCUUACGCCGCCUCCGUAGCGCCCCGCCCCCGCCGGCCGCCGUAAACUCCUUCGGGAAUCGUGGCGCGCCGCUCCUCCUGCGUAAACUGCGUGCGGCCCGGCUGUGCGGUAUCGCCAGCUGCGUAAAUCGAUGCAGUUCCCACAUCAAUGCAGUGGAUGCUGCUGAGGAGGAACCACCUCAGUUUGAUCUUUGUAAACUGCUGGUGUUCAGCCUCCAUGGACAGUUCUGGCAGUGCACUUGAACAAGGCUGCAAAGAUAAUUGUAAGAUUCAUUUUACAAUCUGCCAACAAAAGAUAAGAGGUUUAUAAAAGACAAGUUCCCACAGAGAGCCUGUUCAGCUAAAGAGCUAAACACCUAUUUCUUGGUCAACAUUCAUUUUUUAAGCCAAUGGAGAUCUAGAUUUGCCUCAUACAGCAAAAUUAGAGGUGAAACUGUCAGCUGAGAACUGAAGUCCAGCUUCUUAUUGUCUGCCCUUGAGCCACUCCAUGAAUUCCUGUCAGAGGUAACAUAGAGGGACUCGGGGCUGUUGGAUUCAUAUGAGCUAACUCAAUCUGAAUAAAAAUUAUUGAUUAAAUACCUGUUUAGUUAUGGAAAUAGCAAGCUGAUUGCCUCUGGGUCACUGCUGUGUGUCAUUUCAAAAAGCUGAAACUCAUCUCAAUGACUUUUCCCUGGGAUACGUGUAUUAAAAGCAUGGAAAGAGAAGGGUAAGAUUUAAGAGAUUUUUUUAGAAUGGAAAGAGUUAAUGUCAACAGUUUUCCUUCAUUUCUUUUCCCUGGUGUUAUGAAGUCCUUGUACAAGAAAUCUUUUUCUUUACAGUUUUGUGG